UACAGAGGGUGCGAGCGUUAAUCGGAUUUACUGGGCGUAAAGUGUGCGCAGGUGGCCGCGCAAGUCGAGUGUGAAAUCCCCGAGCUUAACUUGGGAAUUGCGCUCGAAACUACGUGGCUCGAGUGUGGCAGAGGAAGGUGGAAUUCCACGUGUAGCGGUGAAAUGCGUAGAGAUGUGGAGGAACACCGAUGGCGAAGGCAGCCUUCUGGACCAACACUGACGCUCAUGCACGAAAGCGUGGGGAGCAAACAGG
rnacentral:misc_RNA from 1 species